GAUCCUGGCUCAGGAUGAACGCUAGCUACAGGCUUAACACAUGCAAGUCGAGGGGAAACGACAUCGAAAGCUUGCUUUUGAUGGGCGUCGACCGGCGCACGGGUGAGUAACGCGUAUCCAACCUGCCCAUCACUUGGGAAUAACCUUGCGAAAGUAAGACUAAUACCCAAUGAUAUCCCACGAAGGCAUCCGAAUGGGAUUAAAGAUUUAUCGGUGUACGAUGGGGAUGCGUUCCAUUAGGUAGUAGGCGGGG
rnacentral:rRNA from 1 species